ensembl:lncRNA
GUGAAAGUAUUUUGACUCCUCGUUACUGAUGUAAGUAAUCAAGCUGGAUGUAAUCCUGGCUCUCACUCCACUCCCUUUUCUUGCAAGGCUGCUUUCUGGCCAUUCUAGUGAUGCAACCUGACAAGCCAUAGCACCAACAAUGGGGAAGGAAGAACUGUAUGAGCCUGCCUAACUCCAGGCUGAAGCUGUUGUGUGAGGAGGAAUCCAGUUGCACAAACCUCAACAGAAGUCAUGCCACACCACGUUGCUGUGGGAGAAUGUUCUCAUCUCUAUUUCCUUUGGGAUGUUUGAAAUCAUGAGAUUUGUGUGCAUGUUAAGUGCCUACUAUUUUCAGUGUCCUGUUUAAGGUGCAGUCUAUAAUGCAGCUGGGAAAAAGAGAACACAGAUUUGAGAGAGGUUUCUCCUUACAUAUACCCUUUGGAGGUUUGGAGCAGACCACCUGGGAGUUCAUAAACUCCUGAGGGACUGAUGAGAUCCCCCCUGCAUGUGAAAUUUCUAAAAUAUACUCUAACUUCGGUUGCAAAUGUUCCAGGGUCAAAUAGUCCCAAAUAGGCACUCAAACAAGUAGGAGGAAGGGGCCAAUGAGGACCUCAUGAAAUUCAGCCAGAAUGAAUGCUGAGUCCUGCACCUGUGAAGGAUGAACCCUAGAGCUGAUAGAGGCUGGAGAGUGGCUUGGCAGGAAAGGCCUUGAAUGCCUUCACUUAGAGGUGGUGGGCUCUUCUCAGCACAUCUGAAGGAAGGACAAGAGACAGAGUAGCCUUGUCUGAGCUCAGACCUAACCUUGCUUUGAGCAAGAAGUUAAACUCAGGAUGUCCCGAUGUCCCUUCCCACCUGAGUUAUCCUGUGCUCCUGUGCUGCCUUUAGAAGUCUGAGGCUCCCAUCCCCAGUCUGCCUCCAUCUCGCUGUGAGAAGCUGCCUUAGCCUCCCUGGUUUUUGUCUCCCGUUUUGAACCAUGUUCUGUAAAGUGAUUUCUAUUCCAAAGCAGCAGAGUCGUGUUAUGGCCAUGUUCUGAUUUAUUGUGUUUGCAUACAGUCAUGAGCUGCAGUGGAGCUAUACAUUUCUCUGAGUGAAGGGGGUAGGUUACAUGCUUUAUUACCCAUUACAGGGCUUUGAAAUAACCGGUCUCUUACUAUGAAUAUAUUAUUUUUCCUAACAGCAAAGCUGAACUGCGAGUCUGCAUGGUGUGCAUGGUGGUGCCACUAGAUGUCCCUUGUCACCCAAGUGAUGUUGGUGGCUCAUCCCCAGUGCUAUAUGAUGUAGCACUGUAAAGAAAUCAGUGUUUAAAGCAUUCGAUAUAGAGAGAUGUUGUGGCUGUCUCAAAAAGAAGACUUGUGUUAUCCUCAGAAAGGUAUUGUCAUAGGUAUCAAGGAGAUAAUUUAUUCUUUUGUCUUUUCUUGCUUAAUUCUCCACAGAAAGAGACUCCCUAGUAAGAAGGUGUUUGUUCUGAAGGGGUAUUUCCACCAGGGCCAACCCAAAUUUCCUAGUGAAAGAUGCUCACACUAGGAAAUGCUGGGUUGCUGAGUCUAAAACUGUGAUGUUCAACAACUUUUGCAUCUCCAGUACAGGCCUGGGUAGUGUGAGAUGGGAUCUGGCAACCUGUAUCAGCACAGCUGCUGAGGAAGGGACAGGUAGCUUUGGGAUUUUCUUGCACCUUCAUACCGAUUUUGACCUUUGGGGCAAUUUUAUAUUGAAAUGGACCAGUGAAAGAAGCUGCGUAUGUGAAGAGGUAUUGGACAGUAAGCACUAGCUUAAGGAGGGGGGAAGAAUACAGAUGGAAAGAAAAUGGUCUCAAUCUGCUUCAGACAGAAACCCAACAAAUGACAGUUAAAGCCCUUCAUCCUCUUUGUUGGCUGCUGAGAGCAGGAGAUCAUCUUCUUCAUGUGAACUGGGAGAGUUGAGCUGGCCAUCCAGGACAGCAGAAGAUGUGUGCCAGGCUCCUUGGGGAGGUCCUCAGUAACCCCUCUCUCCUUAUGUCACAUUACCCAAACAGUGCAGACAAAGCCUGGAAGGCUCAUUGUGUCCCUACAAAGAGGGAAUGAAGGGGCUGGUGAGUGAGGGAGCAGCCUCUGAGGCAUGCAGUGUGGAGCAGGGAGAGCGGAUCUGCAGUUGGGGACAGUGCCUAAGGGGGCACACGGAAUGCUCCCUACCCUGAUCCUACUCAGCAUCCUCAAACCUCUCCUUACACAUCCCAGCCCCAGCAAUAGGGCAGUUCUGGUCUCUCCUGCAACCCUUCAAGAGUUAAUCCGUCCACAUGCCAUGCGGCCGUGUUUUCACUGAAGUGGAAGCUGUGUUUCCAUAUGUCCCUAUCUCCCACAGCUGACAUCUUGGCGAGGACAUCUGUGCCACUCAGCAUGCCUAUGCCCUUGCACAGCUUCACCUGGGCUUCUGUGGAGUGAUUCCUGCUCGCCCUUGUCCCCCAUGGUGCUCUGUGCACCUACCAUUGCUGUAUGAGUAGGGGGAUGCGCCUGUCCCCAUGCUGCCCUGAAAGCUUCUGUGCCGUGUUAUCAGCCCCAGGAUGUGUCGCUGCAGUGUGUGAUCGCACAGACCAUGCUGCUGAGUAUUCAGAGUCACAUACGCUCGCCUGAAUGACUGAAAUGAAGUAUUUGCUGCUUUCUACUUCAUUUAAACCUGCGGGAGCUGGUAGUGCUCAUCCUCCCCACACACUGAGGUAUCCACACGUGCCACUCACCAGCCUGGGGCUUCUUCCCCAAGCAAUGGCUGAGCAAAUCUCUUAAUAACAGAGCAACUACUCGCAGAUUAUUGUGAUCAUAAUUUGGCUGACAUAGCCUUUAUUACUAAUGGCAAUGCUGGAAAUGGAAAACCCAGCUUGAUGCUCAGCUCCCUGCUGGAAAGUAAUAAAAUAAAGAGGAACAAAAUCAGUGAGUGUAUUUGCUACCAAACCUUUGAAAAACACAAAAGUGGAACCCUGCCAAUGCUGUUGCUGGCGGUUUUUCAGACCAGAGCCUCUCUCCAAGGUAGGAUUAGAAGUGGAAGUGCAUUUGUAUCUAUGACAUUAGUAUCAUGUUGUUGUGUAUGAAUGGAGGAUUUGCAAUCAUUUGACAUCUAUUGGUUUCUAUUGCAAUUAUGGCACGCUGCUUUUUUUUUUACCUUCAGCAUAUUCUUUAACAUCUUCCAGUCAUGGAAUAAGUAGAAGACAACUUCAGUUAUUGUCACAAUCAAACAAACAAAGACAAGUGUUGUUUUUUUUUUGCCAACUCAAAGAAUGGUCAAAAGAGGAGUUUCAUUGAAAAUGUUCUGAUAAAAAUGGAGGAUGUCGCAGCUUUUCAGUGAGGUCUUUGUUGACAACAUGAGCUGAGGGAGGUUGGCUUUUACAUAGCCUCUUUUGUCCAUCUUUGUGCAAUGGCAGAAUUCACAGCUAAAUUCUGAUGGCAGAAAUUUCUUGUCUGAGAAUGGUAUGAUAUCAUAUAGAUUCAUUAAAAAAAAAAACCAUCCCCAGACCAUAGCUCGGAUUUUGAAUACCAGAAUGAGCCUUCAGUGCUAAGGAAUGAGCCUCCAGUGCUGAGAAUACAGAAAAAGCUAUUAAUUUUUUUUCUUAAACAUAAAGAGAACCACUUGAUAAAAUCAGUUGCAAAUAAAGGAGGAAUGUAAAUGCACUUUUCAAUUAUUUUUUUAUUUCCCUCCCUCUCUCUCUCUCUUUUUUUUUUUUUCCAUGUUAAUACUUCUUUGGCUCUUGGUUCAUAACCAUCCAGUAAUUAUAAUUAUAAAGGAAACUAACUUUUACCGUGCUAAUUAAACUGUAUGUCACAUAGGCAUUCGGGGAGAAUUUCCCAUGCUUUCUAGCAUGAAUGGAAGGAAAGAGCAGCGGUGCUCAAUUUAAACUCGAUUUUUUUCUGGUACCUUGCAAAAAGGCUUCAUUGUAUUUUGAUUAAUCCAUGCUUGGUCCACCUCGGAUGUUUCCAUGGAAACAGAAUUUUUUUUUUCUUGAUGGCAACUGUUAGGCUCAGGAAGGUUCCUCUCCACACAAAACCACUCUGGCUCCUAAAGAACUACUUGUUGGAAAUUUAAUGUGCAUAAACAAAACUCCCAAAUUCCUCCUCAGUAUUACGGCAUUAUUGUUGUCAACGCUAAUAGAGAAGUGUUUUCUUAAUGGUACAGAGUGGUGCCUUUUCACUCCACAAGAAAAUAGAAUGUUACUAUUAUUUCUACUGCCAGAGAGUGCUUUUCUUGGUCCAGGAAAAAUUAGAUUGCAAACCUUUCAAAAUUAAAUUUUAAGAGUUCCAAUGUGUGAAUAUUAUCUAGUUCUAGGCAUAAAUCAUUUGCCUUAAUGGCUGUAAAAAAAUUAAUUAAACUUGCCUUGUCGAUUGGCAGUAAUUUGAAUAAAUUAUUCUUCUGUGUCAUAUUAUUAUUUUUUUUUUUCAAAGAAAGAAAGAAUCUCUUCAUACGCACUGCUAUUAUGGUUGGAAUAGGUUUUAAAAGUCGGCCAACAGGGGGAGCAUUUGUAUGGUAUUAUUAAUGUCACAAAGUGGUUGGAAACACGACCAUAUUUUUUUGUCUAAAAUUAUUAGAAUUCUUGACCAUUUUUUAAAAUAGAAAAGGUUUUGGUUUGGAGUGUUUCAGCUUCUGAAAAAUCAAAUCUUGACUUCUGCUGACAGUACAAGAAGCUAUUUUAAAGUGAUGGUUGGGUUUGUUGUUUGGAAAAAUUGAAGUUUUAGACCACAGAUAAAAUAUUAUUUUGGUUGAAAAGCAAUUUUUGGUUAAAAGUAUGUGGAGGAAACCCAUUCAAGCACCUCUAAUUGAAAUUUGACUUGUUAUUUUUAUUUCAGUGACAUCCAUACCACAUCAUAUAAGAUGGCGUAGAAAUAUAAAAUGUAAAUAUGUAUAUUAGAGUAAAGCCCUGACACCAGUGCUUGUAAAAGUCAAGGCAGAGAUGAGAGAAAAAGAGCUGUUGAUUUAUUCAUCCUUCUUUUUGUUUCAUCUUUUUUCAUCAUGAGAAGGAAUCUGCCAAAUGGAAAAAGGAAGAUCUCUUUGAGUGCAAAAUAGAAUUUUCAAGCUUUCUCCAAGUACAUACUGCGAAUAGGAAGUAUACAUCAAGCUAGGGAAAAAAAACAGGAACCUGUCAGUUCCUCUUUCCCAUGUUCUACUAGAAUCUGUUCAUACAAUAAAAACACUUUUUUUACACCAUGCUCUACUUUCAUGUUUCCUCUUAAGCUUUUGGAGCGCCGCUACCAUCAGCUGCUCUAACACCAGCAUGAAGUGUGAAGGUACCAUCUCUCUUCACAGUGGCUCUGCAGAUAGCAGUGCUGCCCAUUUGUAUGACCCAAGAGGCUGUGCAACGCUUUAAGGUAGGUCAGAAAAGUGAAACAGCUGGGGACACUAGGACAUGGCUACAAUUACUUGAGUGAAACUGAAUGAGAAUUCAGUACAGGAUAUUGUGCUUGGCUGGAAAAUGUGACAGUGCCCAAAGUGGCCGUGCAGGCAGGAUGUGGUAAGGAUGUACCAUGAGUUUGUCUUUGGAGAACUGUGUUGCCCAAAGCCUAGGGUUUCUUUGAAGCAAGGUUUAUUUCUCCUGUAUAUGUGGGGCUGGUUUGGUAAGUACUCAUUUUGAAUCUCACAAGAAUCAUGCAGUGGAUUUUUGGAGUUAGUCAGGUCUUAGUUUUUUGUUGUUGGUGGUGGUGUUUUGGUUUUUUUUGCCCUUCGCAGAAUCAUAGGAUGGCUUGGGUUGGAAAGGACGUCAAGGACCAUCUAGUUCCAACCCCUCUGCCACGGGCAGUGUUGCUAACAACUUAAUCAGGCACUAGAUCAGGCUGCCCAGGGCCCCAUCCAACUUGGCCUUGAACAUCUUCAGGGAUGGGACAUCCACAGCUUCUCUGGGCAGCCUGUGCCAGUGCCUCACCAUCCUCUCAGUGGAAAAUUUCCUCCGGACAUCUAAUCUAA